UACGUAGGGGGCAAGCGUUGUCCGGAAUCAUUGGGCGUAAAGGGCGUGUAGGCGGUUUGUUAAGUCAUGUGUGAAAUCCCUCGGCUCAACCGGGGAAGGACGCAUGAAACUGGCAAGCUAGAGUACCAAAGAGGGGGGUGGAAUUCCCGGUGUAGCGGUGAAAUGCGUAGAUAUCGAGAGGAACACCGGUGGCGAAGGCGGCGAUCUGGACGAUGACUGACGCUGAGACGCGAAAGCGUGGGGAGCAAACAGG
rnacentral:rRNA from 1 species